UUUAGCAGCACAUAGACUAAACUAAAAAUUGGAAUGAUACAGAGAAUAUUGUAUGCAUAGCCCCUGCACAAAGGUAAUACACAUAUUCAUAAAGCAGUCCAUUUUUUA